rnacentral:lncRNA from 1 species
GCGGGGCGCGGAGCUCAAACACAAAACGAAGUCAGCAGCCCAAGCCACCCUCAGGUGGGGUCCCUUGCUGGCCGCAGCCUCACUGGGCGGGCUGCGCGGAGAAAGCCGCUUUUGUGUGUCGAGUCUCGCGGCUGCACUGUUAGCCAAAGGCGGGCAGCAGUGCUGGGAGACGCGACCAGGAGAGCAACGCGCCUGGGUGGCGGCUCCGCACUGGGUCUGCUCUGCCCCCGCUGAGAACGCGGCUGCUGCUGCCCCCUUAGCUCCGCUCGGGUCUUCGUCCCAGCGGAGCUUCAGUUCUAGGCUGGAGCUGCCGAGGGUCGUGGCACUGAAGCAGCACCAGCCGCCGCCGCCGCCGCCGCCGCCGCCGCCGCCGCCGCCGCCGCAAGCCCUCAGCUAACUUGCCCGUUCGCCUCGCGCGCGGGAGUGAAGCCCCCGGCACGACCAACUGCCCGGCGGAAAUGACGAGGGGCCUCCUGCCACCCAAAAUAUCUCUCUGCAGCUCUCGGGUGUGAGGCGCGCGCGCCACGAGCCCCCCGCCCGCUCGCUCGCUCGCUCGCUCGCUGCCGCGCGGUCCCGCCCCCGAGACCGGCGGUCGGCGCGCGAGGCGCGUGCGCGUGCGCGUGUCUGCACGAGGCCGGAGCCCAGGGUCUGUCUGGCAGGCAGGCAGGUGCGGGCGGCUCACGGCCUCGCGUUCCCGCCCUAGGGGCCGCCCGGGGACAGAGGCGCGAGAGGAGCGCGUGCGCGGCGGCGGCUCGAGCCCAAGCCCCACCCCAAGCCAGGCCUGGAGCCUGGGGUCAGUCAGUCAGUUAGGUGAGAGCAGCUGGAGCUCGUCUCGAAGGGGCCUCCGAGGGGGCCACGGCGGCGGCAGCAGCGGCGGCGAGGCGAGCUGCCCACCAGUUGAACACUGGCGGUUGAGGCUGUCGAGGAGGAAAAUUGGCUAAUUAAGGAUGUUUGUACACAUGCAACAAAGCAGUUAUUCCCAUUGAACAGGAACUGUGUUCACAAAGAGAGGCAUGUAAGUUUAUCACUGCUUUUGACAUUUUCUUGAUUUUGAAAGGAAAUUUGGUUAUUUUGGUGAUGUAGUGAAAAUAUUUUGAAUUGUUAAUUACUCAUGGAAACUAUUUCAAACACUUCAUAGCACAAUGCAAGCUAUCUAUCAUUUACUGAUUUUUCAAGAUCAGCAUCUUCUCUGUAGAGGCUCUGUUAGAAGCAUAGCAGAUACAAAAUUGAGUAAAACAUGAUUGCUGCCUUCAAUGACUAUAAACAACAACAACAUAUGAAUAGAUAUUUUUCAUAUAAUAUAGCAAAUGGAAUGAAAGAGAUAUACAAAAGUGUUAUAGAUUUAUUUAACAGUAUAAAAUAUUAAUGUAUCCAAAAUGAAUAAGUAAGCAUCUCCCUAGAUUAGAAGAUGGCAAUAUAGUUUGAAUGUAUGCUUUAUCUCCAUUCAUUCAUUUAAGGAAACAUUUAUUAAAUGGCAUAUCAGAGACUGGGCUAAGCACCAUGAGUAAACUAGUGAGUAUAAUGGAUGUGGUUCCUGAUCCUGUAGCACUUACAAUCUAGUGGAAAGCAUAAUAUAUUUUAGUACUCAAACUAUAUACAUAUGUGUGCAUAUGCAUAUGUAUGCAGAUCCUGAAAGUAUGGGUAUUAAGCAUACAAAGUAUAGUGAUAAAGAACAAUUGGGGUUUAGGAGAUAAGAAACUCCUUAAGGUAACAAAAGAAGACUUCUCUGGGUAGGUGACUUUUAUGCAGUUUUGAGAUAUAAGAAUAUGAAAAAGCAGAAUCAGCUGAUUCAAGGAAGAGAUAAAAGACCGUGUGAAGUCUCUGAGGCAUAAAGAGUUUGAAUUGAUGGAGGAACAGAAAGAAAAUCAAUGUGGCUGAAGCAGUGAAUGGGCAAAAGUCAUAAAGAGAAGAUUGGGGCAAAAGACAAGAGUUGGAGAAAGGACAUUGUAGUCCAUGUGAUAACUAGCUUAGAGUGCAGAGAAAAGCCAUUAAGACUUGUAAGCAGGUCAUAUACAUGAUCUGAAUUAUAUUUUUAAGUUAAGGAGCUUUGCCCACUUCCAAAAAGAUUGAGUAGUCAUAUUUCCUAUUCUUCCCACUAGGUACAACUAAAACCCCUGAAGAUUAUAUAUAAAAUAAAUAUAAGAACACUCUGAAAGGAGGAGACA